GCGCUCUUGGCGCAGUGGUAGCGCGUGUCUCUCCUACUACCCACUCCUAGAACGUUUAGGAUAUUGCCAAGACGAGGUCGUGGGUUCGACCCCCACAGGGCGCU
rfam:Tstilago hordei, Th4857-4, WGS project CAGI01000000 data, contig: THOR_scaffold_5.00002